UACGUAGGGGGCAAGCGUUGUCCGGAAUCAUUGGGCGUAAAGCGCGUGUAGGCGGCCAGAUAAGUCGGGUGUGAAAUCCCACGGCUCAACCGUGGAAGUGCAUUCGAAACUGCUUGGCUCGAGUCUCGGAGAGGAAGGUGGAAUGCUUGGUGUAGAGGUGAAAUUCGUAGAUAUCAAGCGGAACACCGGUGGCGAAGGCGGCCUUCUGGACGAUGACUGACGCUGAGACGCGAAAGCGUGGGGAGCAAACAGG
rnacentral:rRNA from 1 species